rnacentral:rRNA from 1 species
CACUCCUGCGGGAGGCAGCAGUGGGGAAUUUUGGACAAUGGGCGAAAGCCUGAUCCAGCAAUGCCGCGUGCAGGAUGAAGGCCUUCGGGUUGUAAACUGCUUUUGUACGGAACGAAAAAGCUCCUUCUAAUACAGGGGGCCCAUGACGGUACCGUAAGAAUAAGCACCGGCUAACUACGUGCCAGCAGCCGCGGUAAUACGUAGGGUGCGAGCGUUAAUCGGAAUUACUGGGCGUAAAGCGUGCGCAGGCGGUUAUGUAAGACAGAUGUGAAAUCCCCGGGCUCAACCUGGGAACUGCAUUUGUGACUGCAUGGCUAGAGUACGGUAGAGGGGGAUGGAAUUCCGCGUGUAGCAGUGAAAUGCGUAGAUAUGCGGAGGAACACCGAUGGCGAAGGCAAUCCCCUGGACCUGUACUGACGCUCAUGCACGAAAGCGUGGGGAGCAAACAGGAUUAGAAACCCGAGUAGUCCCA